rnacentral:lncRNA from 1 species
UUUUUUUUUUUUUUUUUUGGUCUUUUCAGGGCUGAACCCACAACAUAAGGAAGUUCCUAGGCUAGGGGCUGAAUUGGAGCUGCAGCUUCUGGCCUUCACCACAGCCAUAGCAACAUGGGAUCUUAGCCUCGUCUGCAACCUAUACCAAGCUCAUAGAAAUGCCGGAUUCUUAACCCACUGAGCAAGGCCGUGGAUCAAACCUGUGUCCUCAUGGAUAUUAGAUUCAUUUCUGCUGAGCCACAAUGGGAACUCCUGGCUUUUUUUGUUUUUACAGCCAAACUCUCAGCAUUCGGAAGUUUCCAGUCUAGGGGUUGAGUCGGAGAUGUAACUGCUGGCCUACACUACAGCCACAGCAAUGCAAGAUCCAAGCCUCGUCUGCCAACUACACCACAGCUCUUGGCAAUGCGGGAUCCUUAAUCCACUGAUCCAGGCCGGAGAUCAAAUCCACAUCCUCAUGGAUCCUAGUAAAAGAAUGCUCAAAUAAUUUUAGAUAUGGAAGAAGACCUUGGAAAUAAUCCAAUUCAAUACCCUCACUCUUCAGAUUAGGAAACUGAUGACCAGAAACAUUAAUUCAUAUGUUCCGCAGCUAGUUGGAACUAAUAUGUUAAUAUCUACAGCAGGAUGGGGAGUAAUAUGCUAUGAGUCAGUAUUCUUUUGGUUACAAAUAUCAGAAAAAUAAUAAUCCCAAACUAAUUUAAGCAAAAAAGGUGACUAGCAGAACAUUAGCAGCCAACAUUGCAAUUGCUACUAACAGGAUUCUCUCAUUACAUAACACCCAUUUUCAGUUAUUAGUGAUGAUAAUGAUGGGGAACAGAGAAAGCAAGUUACUGGGCGGAUAAUCCCAAAGAGGAGCAGAAGACAAAACCCACUGGGCUGCAGAGGAGGGAAGCAUGACAUUGGCAACAAGACUUAAGUCAGAGGUGGCAGAGCUGGGACCUAGCACCAUCACUGGAAGGAGCUAAGUCCAUGAGUCCAAUAGCGGGUCAGGGCAGAAGUGGUGCAAGGUAGGCUCAAACUGCUUUAGUGCACAGGGAUGAGGGCUCUCUUGAUCAAUUCAGGUUUCUAUGCUAGAAUACCACAGACUAGAUUGUCAACAACAGAAAUGUAUUUCUCAUCGUUCUGGAAGUUGGGGAAUCCAAGGCCAAGGUGCCAGCAGAUUCAUUGUCUGGUGAGAACCCACUUCCUGAUUCACAGAUGUCCUACUUUUGUUCUCACACGUGGAAAGGGGUAAAGUGCUCUCUGGGGUCUUUUUUUAAAUAAGAGCACUAAUCCUAUUCAUGACGGCCCUGUCCUUAUGUCCUAAUCAGCUCUCAAAGACCCACAUCCAAAUAUCAUCACAUUGGAAAUUAGGUUUCAACAUAGGAACCUUAACAGAGAUGCAAACAUUCAGUCCAUAGCAAGGGCCAAAGCAGAAGAUGAGAGUCUUACUGAGGUUGAGAAUCUGACACCUUAUGAAGCCUAGAGACCAAUGAGUUUGUGGUCCCAUGGAAGCUUGCAGCCAGUCCCCCACUGAUAUAUUUUUUUUAACAGAAAUCAUUUCCGUUCUCCUUAUCAGCUCCAUCCAUGAGGUUGCACUAAAUUUUAAAAGACCCAAGACCCUGGUAACACUGGUGGUAUCAUCCACUCAAGAAUUCCCAGUGCUCCUUCCAAACCAAUAUUGGGUCAGCAAGGAGGAUCCUUGAGAUCUCUUUGUGAUUCUAAUUAUUUUGUAGGCACACUCUAAUUAUUUUAAUGUAUGUGAUAAUUCUGAAGCAAUAUGCAUUCUGUCAGACCACUUCAUUCCCCUCUUCAUCAGCAUCUUUCCCCUCUGGAACCAGCAUCUUUCCAUCGGUUCUGGCAACUGUGUUCUUCCUGGAUUCAACAAGCAAACUUAGUAAAACUUUAUUUAGAGAAAUAAAGUCUUCACCCUGUCCAUAUGAGAAAGUGAAGACAGAAGAACACUACUCUGACUCUUGAACAUUUCAAGAAAAAAGAUGGUCUAAUAUUAAAAAAAAAGAGAAGUUGUAUCAGAUUGAAAGGAGGAAUGCUGGAACUAAUGAUCAGAAUUACGGAAAUAGAGGUAGAAAAUGUUCCAGGAAAUCACUUUCACUGAGAAAGAAGGAAGUAAGAGCAGUGAAAGAACAAACAAUUCUCUCACUGAAUAAAGUAUGAACAUUUGUAUGAGCCAAAAGAGCAAUAGGAAACCAGAACAUAUCAUUCCAAAAUCCAGAGGCAUUUGUUUCAUUAAUAUUGGUCAAUGCCCUGAAUCACUUUACUUCCUGUUAGUUUAAUCAUAAAAAUGAAACAGGAUACAAAAUGUUCUAAAGAUUAUUUUAUUCAAAUUGAGCAUUUAUCUAGGCACUAAGCAUUUUAAUUAGUGGCUUUCAAACAUUUUUGACCAUGACUCACAGUAAGGAAUAUAUUUAACAUCAAAACCUGGUGUACACUGUGGCUUGGCGGUAACGAACCUGACUAGUAUACGUAAGGACAUGGGUUCAAUACCUGGCCUUGCUCAGUGGGUCAAGGAUCCUGUGUUGCCAUGAGCUGUACUGUAGUUCACAGACAUGACUCGAUACCACAUUGCCGUGACUGUGGUAUAGGCUGGCAGCUACAACUCUGAUUCGCCCCCUAGCCUGAGAACUUCCAUAUGCUGCAGAUGUGGCCCUAAAA